rnacentral:rRNA from 1 species
AUGAACGCUGGCGGCGUGCCUCAUACAUGCAAGUCGCGCGCACAGACGAGGAGCUUGCUCCUCUGACGUUAGCGGCGGACGGGUGAGUAACACGUGGAUAACCUACCUAUAAGACUGGGAUAACUUCGGGAAACCGGAGCUAAUACCGGAUAAUAUAUUGAACCGCAUGGUUCAAUAGUGAAAGACGGUUUUGCUGUCACUUAUAGAUGGAUCCGCGCCGCAUUAGCUAGUUGGUAAGGUAACGGCUUACCAAGGCAACGAUGCGUAGCCGACCUGAGAGGGUGAUCGGCCACACUGGAACUGAGACACGGUCCAGACUCCUACGGGAGGCAGCAGUAGGGAAUCUUCCGCAAUGGGCGAAAGCCUGACGGAGCAACGCCGCGUGAGUGAUGAAGGUCUUCGGAUCGUAAAACUCUGUUAUUAGGGAAGAACAAAUGUGUAAGUAACUAUGCACGUCUUGACGGUACCUAAUCAGAAAGCCACGGCUAACUACGUG